rnacentral:siRNA from 1 species
CAUCGUUGCUCUUGCUGCUAG